rnacentral:rRNA from 1 species
UACGAAGGGUGCUAGCGUUGUUCGGAAUUACUGGGCGUAAAGGGCGCGUAGGCGGCUUUACAAGUCAGGGGUGAAAUCCCACGGCUCAACCGUGGAAUUGCCUUUGAAACUGUAAAGCUAGAGUGUCGGAGGGGAUAGCGGAAUUGCUAAUGUAGAGGUGAAAUUCGUAGAUAUUAGCAGGAACACCGGUGGACGAAGGCGGCUAUCUGGACGACAACUGACGCUGAGGCGCGAAAGCAUGGGGAUCAAAACAGGG